CAGGUACCUUCCUGAGUUCAAGUCUGGUGCAGAGAGGAAGGAUGCUGCGGAGAGCACCAUGAAUGCCUACAAAGCUGCUCAGGACAUUGCUCUUGCAGAUCUGGCUCCAACCCACCCCAUCAGGCUUGGCCUUGCUCUCAACUUCUCAGUGUUCUACUACAAGAUCCUGAACUCCCCUGAUCGUGCCUGCAACCUUGCAAAACAGGUUUGCUUCUUCUCCUUCUAUCCCCCCUUUGUGAUUUGCUUUCAUUUUGAGACCCUUUGUGAUUUGUUUUAAUUUUGAGACAUGAUGUCUCCUAGAUUGUGUGUAGCUUCUGGGCAACGGAUUGAGUGUGCAUAAACAGCUCCUGUCUCCAUCAGCUUAUGUAGGGGUUUGGUUGAUUCAA